UUGAUGACUUCCUUUUCAAUAAAGAAUUUGCCUGUGUUCAGUUAGUAGGAACCGGGCGUCUCCCCCUUCAAAACUAUGGGAUGUGUUGGAAAUUCGUAUGUGAUGCCCGACCUGCCUAUCUCUUUGGAAGGUGCAAUGAGAUUAACAAUCCAUCUCUAAGGCAAUCUUUAAGGCAGAGAAAGAGGAGUUUAGCUAGCCUGAUAGUAGUAGUAAGAGUAAGAAAGAGUUCUCCGUGGCUUAAACAGCUUUUC
rnacentral:lncRNA from 1 species